rnacentral:rRNA from 1 species
AGAGUUUGAUCCUGGCUCAGGAUGAACGCUGGCGGCAUGCCUAAUACAUGCAAGUCGAACGAGAGGAAGGAAAGCUUGCUUUUCUGAAUCUAGUGGCGAACGGGUGAGUAACACGUAGGUAACCUGCCCAUGUGCCCGGGAUAACUUCUGGAAACGGAUGCUAAAACCGGAUAGGUAGCAGACAAGCAUUUGACUGCUAUUAAAGUGGCUAAGGCCAUGAACAUGGAUGGACCUGCGGUGCAUUAGCUAGUUGGUGAGGUAACGGCCCACCAAGGCGACGAUGCAUAGCCGGCCUGAGAGGGCGGACGGCCACAUUGGGACUGAGACACGGCCCAAACUCCUACGGGAGGCAGCAGUAGGGAAUUUUCGUCAAUGGGGGGAACCCUGAACGAGCAAUGCCGCGUGAGUGAGGAAGGUCUUCGGAUCGUAAAGCUCUGUUGUAAGAGAAAAACGACAUUCAUAGGGAAUGAUGAGUGAGUGAUGGUAUCUUACCAGAAAGUCACGGCUAACUACGUGCCAGCAGCCGCGGUAAUACGUAGGUGGCGAGCGUUAUCCGGAAUGAUUGGGCGUAAAGGGUGCGUAGGUGGCAGAACAAGUCUGGAGUAAAAGGUAUGGGCUCAACCCGUACUGGCUCUGGAAACUGUUCAGCUAGAGAACAGAAGAGGACGGCGGAACUCCAUGUGUAGCGGUAAAAUGCGUAGAUAUAUGGAAGAACACCGGUGGCGAAGGCGGCCGUCUGGUCUGUUGCUGACACUGAAGCACGAAAGCGUGGGGAGCAAAUAGGAUUAGAUACCCUAGUAGUCCACGCCGUAAACGAUGAGAACUAGGUGUUGGGGGAAUAACUCAGUGCCGCAGUUAACGCAAUAAGUUCUCCGCCUGGGGAGUAUGCACGCAAGUGUGAAACUCAAAGGAAUUGACGGGGGCCCGCACAAGCGGUGGAGUAUGUGGUUUAAUUCGAAGCAACGCGAAGAACCUUACCAGGCCUUGACAUCCCUUGCAGAGGUAUAGAGAUAUAUCCGAGGUUAACAAGGAGACAGGUGGUGCAUGGUUGUCGUCAGCUCGUGUCGUGAGAUGUUGGGUUAAGUCCCGCAACGAGCGCAACCCU